UACAGAGGGGGCAAGCGUUGUUCGGAAUUACUGGGCGUAAAGGGCGCGUAGGCGGCCUGUUAAGUCGGACGUGAAAACCCGCGGCUCAACCGUGUGGUCUGCAGUCGAUACGGGCAGGCUAGAGUUCGGUAGGGGAGACUGGAAUUCCUGGUGUAGCGGUGAAAUGCGCAGAUAUCAGGAGGAACACCGGUGGCGAAGGCGGGUCUCUGGGCCGAUACUGACGCUGAGACGCGAAAGCGUGGGGAGCGAACAGG
rnacentral:rRNA from 1 species